rnacentral:siRNA from 1 species
CUAGAUUUUAACCUGCGGUACAC